UUUGUUUAGUAGGUUUAAAACACCGGAACCCGUUCAACGACUGUCUGGAAAUUGUUUGAGAAAAUCAACAACAUCUGAAUUACAACUCUUGAUAAAAAAAAACAGACGAGGGCAUUUAUUAUUGCCCGAAUACAACGGUACAGAGUUGAAUCAGUGCACCGAAAUCUAAAAAAUGCUGAUCAUAGGUACAUACCUAUCGCAUCAUGAAUAUACAUAAAAUGGUGAGCAGUUUAACUCCUGUAAUAAAUG